rnacentral:rRNA from 1 species
GAUUAGAUACCCUGGUAGUCCACGCCCUAAACGAUGGAUGCUUGGUGCUGGGAAGUGUUCGGCCUUUUCAGUGCCGUAGCUAACGCGUUAAGGGUGCCGCCUGGGGAGUACGCCCGCAAGGGUGAAACUUAAACCAAUUGGCGGGGGAGCACCACAAGGGGUGAAGCCUGCGGUUCAAUUGGAGUCAACGCCAGAAAUCUUACCCGGAGAGACAGCAGAAUGAAGGUCAAGCUGAAGACUUUACCAGACAAGCUGAGAGGUGGUGCAUGGCCGUCGCCAGCUCGUGCCGUGAGAUGUCCUGUUAAGUCAGGUAACGAGCGAGAUCCUCGCCACUAGUUGCUAUCAUUAUUCUCAGGAAUAGUGGGGCGAAUUAGUGGGACUGCCGUUGUUAAAACGGAGGAAGGAGGGGGCUACGGCAGGUCAGUAUGCCCCGAAACUCUGGGGCCACACGCGGGCUGCAAUGGUAGCGACAAUGAGCUCCAAACUCGAAAGAGAGUGGCAAUCUCUAAACGCUACCACAGUUAUGACUGAGGGCUGUAACUCGCCCUCACGAAUAUGGAAUCCCUAGUAACCGCGUGUCAUUACCGCGCGGUGAAUACGUCCCUGCUCCUUGCACACACCGCCCGUCGUUUCAUCGAAGUUUGCUUUUAGCGAGGUGAUGUUUAAUUGACAUUAUCGAACUUGAGGUAAGUGACGAGGGAAAAGUCGUAACAAGGUGACCGUAGGGGAACCUGCGGUCG